AUGAGGUAAAACUUUAGCCACAUGCAGUUCAAGACCUGUAGCAGCAUAAGUAAAUGACAUUAGAUAAGAGUUAAAUAUAUUGGGCCAGUAUUGUGCAUUUAAGUUAAAUGUAUUUUCAAAAAAAAAUUUUACAGAACUUGUAGGCAACAAGAAUAAACCUAUUGUCAGUAUCCAAUAGCACAAGGGUCAGACUUAGUUGAUCCCAAUCAAAGUCAUUUUUCCCACAUAGCUAGGGCUGAGCAGAAUUCGGUUUAAACCGAAAAACCGAAAUAUUGGUUUAAACCGAAAUAGGGAAGAGUAGUUUUUAAUUUAAUUCGGUUCAAUCGGUUCGGU
rnacentral:misc_RNA from 1 species